AACUCCGGUGGUACAGGAUGGUCCCGCGUCUGAUUAGCCAGUUGGCAGGGUAACGGCCUACCAAAGCGACGAUCAGUAGCCGGCCUGAGAGGGUGGACGGCCACAUUGGGACUGAGACACGGCCCAAACUCCUACGGGAGGCAGCAGUGGGGAAUAUUGCACAAUGGGGGGAACCCUGAUGCAGCAACGCCGCGUGAAGGAAGACGGUUUUCGGAUUGUAAACUUCUAUCAAUAGGGAAGAAAGAGAUGACGGUACCUAAAUAAGAAGCCCCGGCUAACUAC
rnacentral:rRNA from 1 species